GACGAACGCUGGCGGCGUGCCUAAUACAUGCAAGUAGAAGCUAGUUGCGAACGGGUGAGUAAUGUCUGGGAAACUGCCCGAUGGAGGGGGAUAACUACGCGAAAGCGUAGCUAAUACCGCAUACUAUUGGAGCGGCCGAUAUCGGAUUAGCUAGGUGGUGGGGUAACGGCUCACCAAGGCGACGAUCCGUAGCUGGUUUGAGAGGACGACCAGCAGCACUGGGACUGAGAAACGGCCCAGACUCCUACGGGAGGCAGCAGUGGGGAAUUUAGGGCAAUGGGGGAAACCCUGAUCCAGCCAUCCCGCGUGUGCGAUGAAGGCCUUCGGGUUGUAAAGCACUUUUGGCAGGAAAGCGGUACCUGCAGAAUAAGCACCGGCUAACUACGUGCCAGCAGCCGCGGUAAUAC
rnacentral:rRNA from 1 species